rfam:Aeromicrobium sp. Root344 contig_1, whole genome shotgun sequence.
UCGGGCGCACCGCCGAAUUGCCACAGUCAUGGGGAAGAUGUCUGAGGCGAACCGGGGACCCAUGUGUGUGGGGUGAAUCGGAACGGACUGGUCUGUCACAGGACUGGCACGGACCGUAGGGCAGACCUUGGCCCGAACCCGUCAGCUCACCCGGUAGGCGUCGAGGCAACAUAGG